rnacentral:rRNA from 1 species
GAUUAAUACCUGAUGGUAUGAUGAGAUUGCAUGAUAGCAUCAUUAAAGAUUUAUCGGUGUACGAUGGGGAUGCGUUCCAUUAGGUAGUAGGCGGGGUAACGGCCCACCUAGCCAACGAUGGAUAGGGGUUCUGAGAGGAAGGUCCCCCACAUUGGAACUGAGACACGGUCCAAACUCCUACGGGAGGCAGCAGUGAGGAAUAUUGGUCAAUGGACGAGAGUCUGAACCAGCCAAGUAGCGUGAAGGAUGAAGGUCCUACGGAUUGUAAACUUCUUUUAUAAGGGAAUAAACCCUCCCACGUGUGGGAGCUUGUAUGUACCUUAUGAAUAAGCAUCGGCUAACUCCGUGCCAGCAGCCGCGGUAAUACGUAGGUGGCGAGCGUUAUCCGGAUUUACUGGGUGUAAAGGGCGCGUAGGCGGGAAUGCAAGUCAGAUGUGAAAUCCAAGGGCUCAACCCUUGAACUGCAUUUGAAACUGUAUUUCUUGAGUGUCGGAGAGGUUGACGGAAUUCCUAGUGUAGCGGUGAAAUGCGUAGAUAUUAGGAGGAACACCAGUGGCGAAGGCGGUCAACUGGACGAUAACUGACGCUGAGGCGCGAAAGCGUGGGGAGCAAACAGGAUUAGAU